AGAGUUUGAUCCUGGCUCAGAUUGAACGCUGGCGGCAUGCCUUACACAUGCAAGUCGAACGGCAGCACGAGAGCUUGCUCUUGGUGGCGAGUGGCGAACGGGUGAGUAAUAUAUCGGAACGUACCCUAGAGUGGGGGAUAACGUAGCGAAAGUUACGCUAAUACCGCAUACGAUCUACGGAUGAAAGUGGGGGAUCGCAAGACCUCAUGCUCAUGGAGCGGCCGAUAUCUGAUUAGCUAGUUGGUGGGGUAAAAGCUCACCAAGGCGACGAUCAGUAGCUGGUCUGAGAGGACGACCAGCCACACUGGAACUGAGACACGGUCCAGACUCCUACGGGAGGCAGCAGUGGGGAAUUUUGGACAAUGGGCGCAAGCCUGAUCCAGCAAUGCCGCGUGAGUGAAGAAGGCCUUCGGGUUGUAAAGCUCUUUUGUCAGGGAAGAAACGGUGGACUCUAAUACAGAUCACUAAUGACGGUACCUGAAGAAUAAGCACCGGCUAACUACGUGCCGGCAGCCGCGGUAAUACGUAGGGUGCAAGCGUUAAUCGGAAUUACUGGGCGUAAAGCGUGCGCAGGCGGUUGUGCAAGACAGAUGUGAAAUCCCCGGGCUCAACCUGGGAAUUGCAUUUGUGACUGCACGGCUAGAGUGUGUCAGAGGGGGGUAGAAUUCCACGUGUAGCAGUGAAAUGCGUAGAGAUGUGGAGGAAUACCGAUGGCGAAGGCAGCCCCCUGGGAUAACACUGACGCUCAUGCACGAAAGCGUGGGGAGCAAACAGGAUUAGAUACCCUGGUAGUCCACGCCCUAAACGAUGUCUACUAGUUGUCGGGUCUUAAUUGACUUGGUAACGCAGCUAACGCGUGAAGUAGACCGCCUGGGGAGUACGGUCGCAAGAUUAAAACUCAAAGGAAUUGACGGGGACCCGCACAAGCGGUGGAUGAUGUGGAUUAAUUCGAUGCAACGCGAAAAACCUUACCUACCCUUGACAUGUCUGGAAUCCUUGAGAGAUCAGGGAGUGCUCGAAAGAGAAUCAGAACACAGGUGCUGCAUGGCUGUCGUCAGCUCGUGUCGUGAGAUGUUGGGUUAAGUCCCGCAACGAGCGCAACCCUUGUCAUUAGUUGCUACGAAAGGGCACUCUAAUGAGACUGCCGGUGACAAACCGGAGGAAGGUGGGGAUGACGUCAAGUCCUCAUGGCCCUUAUGGGUAGGGCUUCACACGUCAUACAAUGGUACAUACAGAGGGCCGCCAACCCGCGAGGGGGAGCUAAUCCCAGAAAGUGUAUCGUAGUCCGGAUUGUAGUCUGCAACUCGACUACAUGAAGUUGGAAUCGCUAGUAAUCGCGGAUCAGCAUGUCGCGGUGAAUACGUUCCCGGGUCUUGUACACACCGCCCGUCACACCAUGGGAGCGGGUUUCACCAGAAGUGGGUAGCCUAACCGCAAGGAGGGCGCUCACCACGGUGGGAUUCGUGACUGGGGUGAAGUCGUAACAAGGUA
rnacentral:rRNA from 1 species